rnacentral:rRNA from 1 species
GACGAACGCUGGCGGCGUGCUUAACACAUGCAAGUCGAACGGAAAGGCCCUGCUUUUGUGGGGUGCUCGAGUGGCGAACGGGUGAGUAACACGUGAGUAACCUGCCCUUGACCUUGGGAUAACUUCAGGAAACUGGGGUUAAUACCGGAUAGGAGCUCCUGCUGCAUGGUGGGGGUUGGAAAGUUUCGGCGGUUGGGGAUGGACUCGCGGCUUAUCAGCUUGUUGGUGGGGUAGUGGCUUACCAAGGCUUUGACGGGUAGCCGGCCUGAGAGGGUGACCGGCCACAUUGGGACUGAGAUACGGCCCAGACUCCUACGGGAGGCAGCAGUGGGGAAUAUUGCACAAUGGGCGGAAGCCUGAUGCAGCAACGCCGCGUGCGGGAUGACGGCCUUCGGGUUGUAAACCGCUUUCGCCUGUGACGAAGCGUGAGUGACGGUAAUGGGUAAAGAAGCACCGGCUAACUACGUG